GAAAUGCGAUAAGUAAUGUGAAUUGCAGAAUUCAGUGAAUCAUCGAAUCUUUGAACGCACCUUGCGCUCCUUGGUAUUCCGAGGAGCAUGCCUGUUUGAGUGUCAUGGAAUUCUCAACUCUAUUUGCUUUUGUGAAUAGAGCUUGGAUUUGGAGGUUUAUUGCUGGUACUUGUGAUCGGCUCCUCUUGAAUGCAUUAGCUCGAACCUUUGCGGAUCAGCUAUCGGUGUGAUAAUUGUCUACGCCGUUGCAGUGAAGCAUAUCAAUGGGCUCGGCUUCCAAUCGUCCUUUACUGGACAAAGACUUUGACCUUUGACCUCAAAUCAGGUAGGAUUACCCGCUGAACUUAAGC
rnacentral:misc_RNA from 1 species